UACGUAGGGGGCAAGCGUUGUCCGGAAUUAUUGGGCGUAAAGCGCGCGCAGGCGGUCAUUUAAGUCUGGUGUUUAAUCCUGGGGCUCAACCCCAGUUCGCAUCGGAAACUGGAUGACUUGAGUGUAAGAGAGGAAAGUGGAAUUCCACGUGUAGCGGUGAAAUGCGUAGAGAUGUGGAGGAACACCAGUGGCGAAGGCGACUUUCUGGCUUAUAACUGACGCUGAGGCGGCGAAAGCGU
rnacentral:rRNA from 1 species